rnacentral:rRNA from 1 species
UACGGAGGGUGCGAGCGUUGUCCGGAAUCACUGGGCGUAAAGGGCGCGUAGGUGGCGCGGGAAGUCAACGGUGAAAGUUCGGGGCUCAACCCUGAAUCGGCCGUCGAUACUCCCGGGCUCGAGCACUGUAGAGGCAGAUGGAAUUCCGGGUGUAGCGGUGGAAUGCGUAGAGAUCGGGAGGAACACCAGUGGCGAAGGCGGCUACCUGGACCAGCACUGACACUGAGGCACGAAAGCGUGGGGAGCAAACAGG